CCUACGGGUGGCAGCAGUGAGGAAUAUUGGUCAAUGGACGCAAGUCUGAACCAGCCAAGCCGCGUGAAGGAAGACGGCCCUAUGAGUUGUAAACUGCUUUUGUACGAGGGUAAACGCAGAUACGCGUAUCUGUCUGAAAGUAUCGUACGAAUAAGGAUCGGCUAACUCCGUGCCAGCAGCCGCGGUAAUACGGAGGAUUCGAGCGUUAUCCGGAUUUAUUGGGUUUAAAGGGUGCGUAGGCGGGCCGUUAAGUUAGAGGUGAAAUCCCGAGGCUCAACCUCGGAAUUGCCUCUGAUACUGGUCGGCUAGAGAGUAGUUGCGGUAGGCGGAAUGCGUGGUGUAGCGGUGAAAUGCAUAGAUAUCACGCAGAACUCCGAUUGCGAAGGCAGCAUACCGGCGCCCGACUGACGCUGAGGCACGAAAGCGUGGGGAUCGAACAGGAUUAGAUACCCUGGUAGUC
rnacentral:rRNA from 1 species